rnacentral:lncRNA from 1 species
AAAAACGCAACCUUCUUCCAUCUUAUUAUUAUCAUAUUCUUCUGUUUUUUACUAACAACGACUUUGAUAAAAAGGCACGUUUCAUGAAGCUUUUAAUCAGAGUAAUUUGAUUUCAACCAGUAGCCAUCAAACCAAAAAAAUAACAAACAAUUUGUAUAUUCAACCUCACCUCACUAUUGCUAUUACUCUUUAGCAAGCACCUACAUUAUAAAUACCUAUCCGAAAAAUUAAUUUUCCUCUCUAUAUUUCUUGUUUCUCAUUUCAAUCUUGUGAAAAACAUUGGUUAGCUAUUUCUAUCAUCUUUUUUUCUUGGAUUUUGUAAUUGCAGAAUAGAGGCAGGACGACAAAAUAAAAGAGAGAUUUUCGAGGCUGUAAACAGCAAACAACGGCGGCUUUGUAUGUUGAAGAGUUGCGAUGGAAGAAAAUUAUAAAGAGGAGAAAUUUGAGGCAAGGAAUGCAAGUCCUGAUAAUUGUAUUUGGAAGAUAAAGAAAACAUAUUGCAUUGGUUGCUUUGGAUUAUUAAUUGUAAGCAUGGGAGGUGGAGUAAUAUUAGGAUGGUGGAAUUCAAAGUUUCAUUCUUCAAACAGUCAACUGUGGUUGGUGCCUUUAGGUCUCAUCUUGCUUAUUACACCAAUUAUAAUUUGUUUUGCUAUUCUCUUGGAUUCUAGUAACUACAGAGAAGUUGAUGAUCAAACAGUCAAAUUGCCAUAAAAUUAUUCUCCACAGCAUGUGGAGAUAUCAUUAUAAUUUACAGCACUUCAAAGUUUGUUGUCGUGAUCAUCAUUGAAUUUUGUGAUAACUUAAAGAAAGUAAGUGACAAGAGGGGUUGCUCUGACGGUAAUUAACCCCACUUUCAACCGAGAGGUUGUGAGUUCGAUUCUCUCCAAGAGCAAGGUGAGAAGUUCUCGGAGAAAAGGAUGUCGGAGGUCUAUUUGGAAACAGCCUCUUUUACCCAAGGGUAGGGGUAAGGUCUGCAUACAUACUAUCCUCCCCAGACCCCACUAAAUUAGAUUAUACUGGGUUGUUGUUGUUAUUAAAGAAAGUAAGUACUACUACUUCUGUUCUUUUAGUUUUUUUUUCUCUUCAUUUUGCAACUUAUAGGCCAUAGAAUUUUGGGAGUUUGUUUUGAACUUGUUAUGCGUCCUUAUUGAUUAUGGUGUGCCAAAAAAGGGAAACAGAUACCUUACAUAUGUGGAAAAGAUUUUGUAUAUAUAAAAAGGAAAUAAAAGUACUAUAUUUCUUGAGUAAUGUAUGUAAUAAGCUCUCCAUUUUAAAAAAAUAAUG